AUGACCAUUGCUCCCCUGCAGGUCGCAGGCCCCACGCUGGUCACUGCAACAACCAUGGCAGUGUCCUCAGUCCUGCUGUCCCCAAGUGUUUUCCAGCAGACAGUUACAAGGUCCGCAGACCUUGAGAGGAAAACAGGCGCCCCCUCUCCCCUGACUGUUGGAACAUCAGAAAAUCAGAGAAAGCCUUCCAUUAUUCUCAGCAAGUCUCAGCUCCAGGAUACAUUAAUACAUCUAAUAAAGGUAUGUAGGACAUCAAUGGAGUCUUUAAACUUUCAUUCUUUAAUUAAAAAAAAAUAUGUAAGUUCUUCUUAGAAAAUCCGUUCAUAAAGUAAAUUCAAGCCUAGCCAGGAGUAAUGUUUCUCUCUUUCUGAACAUACACUCCUAAUGGAAAAGUGACUGAGUGAAUUCCAAAGUAUGGUUUGCACUUGUCUCUGGGUGGUGAGAUUCUUUGGGUGAUUAGUUCUACAAAGCAUUAUACAGGUUUUUUCCUAAACUUUUGUCAAGGAAGUAAGUUCUACUGAGGUAAAUGAAACAUUACCAUCUCUUCCAGAAUGAUUCCAGCUUCCUCAGUACACUUCACGAAGUCUACUUGCAGGUUCUGACCAAGAACAAAGACAACCACAACUUAUGACUGGAGCAGAAUAAAUCCGAAGGCAGAAUGUCGACCUCAGAAACAAAUAGGCCUCGUCAUGGAAACUUCUAAACAGAACUUUAAGUUGUGAGAAUCCUGAAAUUGAGCCUAUGAGAAAGAGACUCAUUCCUUAAGAAUGUUUUCCAAGUGACGUUCUCAGUGAUAAUGGAGGUUUCACUGUGAAGCAUCACCAGCAGACCUUUGUUUUGACAAAA
rnacentral:lncRNA from 1 species